GACGAACGCUGGCGGCGUGCUUAACACAUGCAAGUCGAACGGAAAGGCCCUGCUUUUGUGGGGUGUUCGAGUGGCGAACGGGUGAGUAACACGUGAGUAACCUGCCCUUGACUUUGGGAUAACUUCAGGAAACUGGGGCUAAUACCGGUUAGGAGUUCCUGCUGCAUGGUGGGGGUUGGAAAGAUUCGGCGGUUGGGGAUGGACUCGCGGCUUAUCAGCUUGUGGGUGGGGUAGUGGCUUACCAAGGCUUUGACGGGUAGCCGGCCUGAGAGGGUGACCGGCCACAUUGGGGCUGAUAUACGGCCCAGACUCCUACGGGAGGGAGCAGUGGGGAAUAUUGCACAAUGGGCGGGAGCCUGAUGCUGCAACGCCGCGUGCGGGGUGACGGCCUUCGGGUUGUAAGCCGCUUUCGCCUGUGACGAGGCGUGAGUGACGGUAAUGGGUAAAGAAGCACAGGCUAACUACGUG
rnacentral:rRNA from 1 species